rnacentral:rRNA from 1 species
CCUAAUACAUGCAAGUCGAACGCAUUGUGGCUGAAAUGAUAUGAAGUAACUUGUUCAGAUUUGAUUUUCAACAUUGCAAUGAGUGGCGAACGGGUGAGUAACACGUGGGAAACCUACCUCUUAGCAGGGGAUAACAUUUGGAAACAAAUGCUAAUACCGUAUAAUAAUUAAAACCGCAUGGUUUUAGUUUAAAAGAUGGUCUUGCUAUCACUAAGAGAUGGUCCCGCGGUGUAUUAGUUAGUUGGUGAGGUAAUGGCUCACCAAGACAAUGAUACAUAGCCGAGUUGAGAGACUGACUGGCCACAAUGGGACUGAGACACGGCCCAUACUCCUACGGGAGGCAGCAGUAGGGAAUCUUCCACAAUGGACGAAAGUCUGAUGGAGCAACGCCGCGUGUGUGAUGAAGGGUUUCGGCUCGUAAAACACUGUUGUAAGAGAAGUAUGACAUUGAGAGUAACUGUUCAAUGUGUGACGGUAUCUUACCAGAAAGGAACGGCUAAAUACGUG